UGCGUAGGUGGCCAAUUAAGUCAAAUGUGAAAUCCCUGAGCUUAACUUAGGAAUUGCAUUCGAUACUGGUUGGCUAGAGUAUGGGAGAGGAUGGUAGAAUUCCAGGUGUAGCGGUGAAAUGCGUAGAGAUCUGGAGGAAUACCGAUGGCGAAGGCAGCCAUCUGGCCUAAUACUGACACUGAGGUACGAAAGCAUGGGGAGCAAACA
rnacentral:rRNA from 1 species